UUACGGCCACAUCACGUUGAAACACCAGUUCCCGUACAGUCACCAAAGUUAAGCAACGUCGAGCCUUGUCAGUACGUAGAUUGGUGACCGCUUGGAAAUACCUGGUGCUGUAAG